AUUGAACGCUGGCGGCAGGCCUAACACAUGCAAGUCGAACGAGUGGCGGACGGGUGAGUAAUGUCUGGGAAACUGCCUGAUGGAGGGGGAUAACUACUGGAAACGGUAGCUAAUACCGCAUACCAUCAGAUGUGCCCAGAUGGGAUUAGCUAGUUGGUGGGGUAACGUCGCACCAAGGCGACGAUCCCUAGCUGGUCUGAGAGGGUGACCGGCCACAAUGGAAAGGAGACACGGCCCAGACGCCUACGGGAGGCAGCAGUGAGGAAUAUGGAACAAUGGGCGCAAGACUGAUGCAGCCAUGCCGCGUGUAUGAAGAAGGCCCGCGGGUUGUAAAGUAAUGGCCGCGGGGAGGCGGUACCCGCAGAAGAAGCACCGGCUAACUACGUGCCAGCAGCCGCGGUAAUUC
rnacentral:rRNA from 1 species